rnacentral:rRNA from 1 species
GAUCAGGCUGUUGGUGAGGUAAUGGCCCACCAAACCUGUAACCGGUACGGGCUCUGAGAGGAGGAGCCCGGAGAUGGGCACUGAGACAAGGGCCCAGGCCCUAUGGGGCGCAGCAGGCGCGAAACCUCUGCAAUAGGCGAAAGCUUGACAGGGUUACUCUGAGUGAUCUCCGUUAAGGAGAUCUUUUGGCACCUCUAAAAAUGGUGCAGAAUAAGGGGUGGGCAAGUCUGGUGUCAGCCGCCGCGGUAAUACCAGCACCCCGAGUGGUCGGGACGUUUAUUGGGCCUAAAGCAUCCGUAGCCGGUUUUACAAGUCUUCCGUUAAAUCCACCUGCUCAACAGAUGGGCUGCGGAAGAUACUAUAGAGCUAGGAGGCGGGAGAGGCAAGCGGUACUCGAUGGGUAGGGGUAAAAUCCGUUGAUCCAUUGAAGACCACCAGUGGCGAAGGCGGCUUGCCAGAACGCGCUCGACGGUGAGGGAUGAAAGCUGGGGGAGCAAACCGGAUUAGAUACCCGGGUAGUCCCAGCUGUAAACGAUGCAGACUCGGUGAU